AGUACAUGGCUCACGUCCGCAACUUCGCCCAGGGACCUGGGCGGCGGCCACGGCCCGGGUGGAGAACAUAAGCCAUUCACCAUUCUAUUAGAACGAGAAAAUGACACUUUGGGAUUCAAUAUUAUAGGAGGUCGACCAAAUCAGAAUGAUCAAGAAGAAAUAUCAAGAGAAGGAAU